ensembl:lncRNA
CACAGAUUUUCUUGCUGUGUCCAUGGAAGUGAGGGAAUCUGCUUAUGUUUUCUACAUUUAUGCUUCCUGGCAGGUGCUUAAAAGAUUGGUUGAGUAAAUUACAACACUUAGCCGAGCUUUCCUCUGACUGCCACAAUCCUCAGCACGUGCAAGGUCAGAUCUUCACUGCAGAGGAAACCCAUUUAGCAACAUGCUAAUUUCCUUCAAGGAAAGAGAUUACUGAUCACAGUAGAUUUCUACAGCAGCCUGCCUACUAUCAGGGACCUGGAGAGAUGAAGGCUGAAGACACCAUAUGGAUAUCCCAUAAUGUACCUUGUGGGGGUGAUCCAGCCAAGCCAUGUGCUUCUUGAGCAAUGUCUUGUACCUAUGCCACCAAUGGUCUAUUAAUUUGCUGCAAGUCAGGGUUCCUUACCACCAUGUCUGCAGCUGGGGCGCUUGGGUCCAAGAAGAAGUUUGAAAUUAAG